AGCGUACACGGUGGAUGCCCUGGCAGUCAGAGGCGAUGAAGGACGUGCUAAUCUGCGAUAAGCGUCGGUAAGGUGAUAUGAACCGUUAUAACCGGCGAUUUCCGAAUGGGGAAACCCAGUGUGUUUCGACACACUAUCAUUAACUGAAUCCAUAGGUUAACGAGGCGAACCGGGGGAACUGAAACAUCUAAGUACCCCGAGGAAAAGAAAUCAACCGAGAUUCCCCCAGUAGCGGCGAGCGAACGGGGAGCAGCCCAGAGUCUGAAUCAGCUUGUGUGUUAGUGGAAGCGUCUGGAAAGUCGCACGGUACAGGGUGACAGUCCCGUACACGAAAAUGCACAGGUUGUGAACUCGAAGAGUAGGGCGGGACACGUGGUAUCCUGUCUGAAUAUGGGGGGACCAUCCUCCAAGGCUAAAUACUCCUGACUGACCGAUAGUGAACCAGUACCGUGAGGGAAAGGCGAAAAGAACCCCGGCGAGGGGAGUGAAAAAGAACCUGAAACCGUGUACGUACAAGCAGUGGGAGCACCUUCGUGGUGUGACUGCGUACCUUUUGUAUAAUGGGUCAGCGACUUAUAUUCUGUAGCAAGGUUAACCGUAUAGGGGAGCCGAAGGGAAACCGAGUCUUAACUGGGCGUUAAGUUGCAGGGUAUAGACCCGAAACCCGGUGAUCUAGCCAUGGGCAGGUUGAAGGUUGGGUAACACUAACUGGAGGACCGAACCGACUAAUGUUGAAAAAUUAGCGGAUGACUUGUGGCUGGGGGUGAAAGGCCAAUCAAACCGGGAGAUAGCUGGUUCUCCCCGAAAGCUAUUUAGGUAGCGCCUCGUGAAUUCAUCUUCGGGGGUAGAGCACUGUUUCGGCUAGGGGGUCAUCCCGACUUACCAACCCGAUGCAAACUACGAAUACCGAAGAAUGUUAUCACGGGAGACACACGGCGGGUGCUAACGUCCGUCGUGAAGAGGGAAACAACCCAGACCGCCAGCUAAGGUCCCAAAGUCAUGGUUAAGUGGGAAACGAUGUGGGAAGGCACAGACAGCCAGGAUGUUGGCUUAGAAGCAGCCAUCAUUUAAAGAAAGCGUAAUAGCUCACUGGUCGAGUCGGCCUGCGCGGAAGAUGUAACGGGGCUAAACCAUGCACCGAAGCUGCGGCAGCGACGCUGAUGCGUUGUUGGGUAGGGGAGCGUUCUGUAAGCCUGCGAAGGUGUGCUGUGAGGCAUGCUGGAGGUAUCAGAAGUGCGAAUGCUGACAUAAGUAACGAUAAAGCGGGUGAAAAGCCCGCUCGCCGGAAGACCAAGGGUUCCUGUCCAACGUUAAUCGGGGCAGGGUGAGUCGACCCCUAAGGCGAGGCCGAAAGGCGUAGUCGAUGGGAAACAGGUUAAUAUUCCUGUACUUGGUGUUACUGCGAAGGGGGGACGGAGAAGGCUAUGUUGGCCGGGCGACGGUUGUCCCGGUUUAAGCAUGUAGGCUGGUUGUCCAGGCAAAUCCGGAUAAUCAAGGCUGAGGUGUGAUGACGAGGCACUACGGUGCUGAAGUAACAAAUGCCCUGCUUCCAGGAAAAGCCUCUAAGCAUCAGGUAACAUCAAAUCGUACCCCAAACCGACACAGGUGGUCAGGUAGAGAAUACCAAGGCGCUUGAGAGAACUCGGGUGAAGGAACUAGGCAAAAUGGUGCCGUAACUUCGGGAGAAGGCACGCUGAUAUGUAGGUGAAGCCCCUGCGGGUGGAGCUGAAAUCAGUCGAAGAUACCAGCUGGCUGCAACUGUUUAUUAAAAACACAGCACUGUGCAAACACGAAAGUGGACGUAUACGGUGUGACGCCUGCCCGGUGCCGGAAGGUUAAUUGAUGGGGUUAUCCGUAAGGAGAAGCUCUUGAUCGAAGCCCCGGUAAACGGCGGCCGUAACUAUAACGGUCCUAAGGUAGCGAAAUUCCUUGUCGGGUAAGUUCCGACCUGCACGAAUGGCGUAAUGAUGGCCAGGCUGUCUCCACCCGAGACUCAGUGAAAUUGAACUCGCUGUGAAGAUGCAGUGUACCCGCGGCAAGACGGAAAGACCCCGUGAACCUUUACUAUAGCUUGACACUGAACAUUGAGCCUUGAUGUGUAGGAUAGGUGGGAGGCUUUGAAGUGUGGACGCCAGUCUGCAUGGAGCCGACCUUGAAAUACCACCCUUUAAUGUUUGAUGUUCUAACGUUGACCCGUAAUCCGGGUUGCGGACAGUGUCUGGUGGGUAGUUUGACUGGGGCGGUCUCCUCCUAAAGAGUAACGGAGGAGCACGAAGGUUGGCUAAUCCUGGUCGGACAUCAGGAGGUUAGUGCAAUGGCAUAAGCCAGCUUGACUGCGAGCGUGACGGCGCGAGCAGGUGCGAAAGCAGGUCAUAGUGAUCCGGUGGUUCUGAAUGGAAGGGCCAUCGCUCAACGGAUAAAAGGUACUCCGGGGAUAACAGGCUGAUACCGCCCAAGAGUUCAUAUCGACGGCGGUGUUUGGCACCUCGAUGUCGGCUCAUCACAUCCUGGGGCUGAAGUAGGUCCCAAGGGUAUGGCUGUUCGCCAUUUAAAGUGGUACGCGAGCUGGGUUUAGAACGUCGUGAGACAGUUCGGUCCCUAUCUGCCGUGGGCGCUGGAGAACUGAGGGGGGCUGCUCCUAGUACGAGAGGACCGGAGUGGACGCAUCACUGGUGUUCGGGUUGUCAUGCCAAUGGCACUGCCCGGUAGCUAAAUGCGGAAGAGAUAAGUGCUGAAAGCAUCUAAGCACGAAACUUGCCCCGAGAUGAGUUCU
rnacentral:rRNA from 1 species